CAGUGUCUACUGUACAUGUACUACAGUCUAUACUAACAUGGGUCUACUGUACAUGUACUUCAACUGUCUAGACUAACCAGUGUCUACUGUACAUGUACUACAGUCUAGAUCAACCAGUGUCUACUGUAUAUGUACUUCAACUGUCUAGACUAACAAGUGUCUACUGUACAUGUACUUCAACUGUCUACACUUACAAGUGUCUACUGUACAUGUACUACAGUCUAGACUAACAUGGGUCUACUGUACAUGUACUUCUACAGUCUAGACUAACCAGUGUCUACUGUACAUGUACUACAGUCUAGACUAACAUGGGUCUACUGUACAUGCACUUCAACUAUCUAGACUAACAAGUGUCUACUGUACAUGUACAACAGUCUAGACUAACCAGUGUCUACUGUACAUGUACUUCAACUGUCUAGACUAACGAAGGUCUACUGUACAUGUACUUCUACAGUCUAGACUAGCAAGUGUCUACUGUACAUGUACUUCAACUGUCUAGACUAACAUGGGUCUACUGUACAUGUACUUCUACAGUCUAGACUAGCAAGUGUCUACUGUACAUGUACUUCUACAGUCUAGACUAACAAGUGUCUACUGUAUAUGUACUUCAACAGUCUAGACUAACAAGUGUCUACUGUACAUGUACUUCAACUGUCUAGACUAACAAGUGUCUACUGUACAUGUACUUCAACUGUCUACACUAACAUGGGUCUACUCUACAUGUACUACAGUCUAGACUAACAAGUGUCUACUGUACAUGUACUACAGUCUAGACUAACAAGUGUCUACUGUACAUGUACUUCUACAGUCUAGACUAACAAGUGUCUACUGUACAUGUACUUCUACUGUCUAGACUAACAUGGGUCUACUGUACAUGUAGUUCAAAUGUCUAGACUUACAAGUGUCUUAAUUGUACAUGGACUUCAGCUUGUUCAGACUUUUGAACAAGUGUAUGUAUUUAUGACCAAGGAUAUUUUAAACUACAUGUUUGUCGUUUAGAUAAAUGGUCUGUCUAAACUUGUGGUUACCAGUAAAUUCUACAGUAUACUGACUCAAUGUUACUAUUAUUAGAAACAGGUUAUAAAUGUCAUGAUGGUAUCUACCAUAUGCAGUACUUUUUAAAAUGUUUUAUGUUUCAUCUUAUGAUGUAUAAGUAAAACAGUUUAAUUUCCUGUCUAACAUAACAAUUUAGGACUUAUAUUUUGGAAACCAUGUGGUUGUAGGAACCUGGAAUCUGGUAUUAACCUCACUGUUGUCUUGGUUACCAACUUUUUCUCUGGAUCAUUGCACCCCAUAUCCACCCUAAUAAAGUCAAUAAUUAAAAAAAGAUUUUGCAACUGGGAAAAGACCCAAUAUUUUAUUUACUUGCAAUAUUUUGCCAAUGUGUUCAUCUAUUUUGUAAACAAGAAAACCAGAAAAUGAAUCUGAAAAAGUAAUUUGUCCUUUCCUGGUUCCUGAUAGGAUUAGAAUUCCCCCUUUCUGUUGAUAUGGCUGGUUGAUUUACAUGUACUUUAUUGUUGUCUUGGAUUGGAAUCCAGACAUUCCUUGUUAUUGAAGUGUUAUUUUGUUUUGUAUGAUUUUUAAUUUCCUAUUUGUUAUCCAGUAAUUGAAAGUUGUAUGUAUGAGUCUUGCUGAACCCUCAACAAUGUUGAAAGAUUAAUAUGUUUACUAAGAUAUUUUGAAUUAGAAUCCUGUCAAAAUUUCUUCAAUAUAGCCGUGCUAUGGUAGCUAUGGCCAUUUGUUAACAGAUUAAUCAGUAGUAUAUACCCACCUAAUCAAUCUGUCAUGCCCAAUCUAGACGGGGAGUGUCAUGUGAUAUUAUAUUGAUUAGGACAGCGUCGAGUCUUUCUGAAAUCUAGUUGUACCAGGUAUAUAUAUCUGUUUUGUUUGGUCGAGCAAUACAACUUCACAGUUUCUUGUACAGGGCCUUGGAAUGUGUCGUACAACUUUUACACCAUUCACUUCAUAAUUCUUCUUUUCAUUUGGACACAUGAGCUUUGUGUACAAGUGGUUUACAUAGUGAUCAAUUUGAUAUUAAUACACACUAAGUCAGUACAUUAAGACAUUUCUUCAAAGCUUCCAUGGGACAGAAUCAAACAAGGAGAAAUAUCUGAAGCAUUAUCACAAUACUGAAUCUCAUUGAAGCCAGUUCUUAUGGAAAUGUUUUUAUUUUCAUCAUCGAUACUGUUGUUAUUGGAAAAAAACAACACUUGUGGUUGAAAAAUAUAUAUGUAUAACUACUACUACAAUGGACGACAUGCUAUUGAGAAUCCAGUUGAGAUGUAUUUGUUGUUAAUUUUGUUUUGCUUCCGCCACCCCCACAGUUGACAUGUUGGAUGGUCCAUUCAUUGUUUCGGAUCAGUUCAACAGUUCAUCAGUGGGUAGGGUGGGACCAAUACAUAAGGCAUACUUGAUAUGAUUUGCAAAAGUGUACAAGCUUCUCCAUGCCAUCAAUACUUACUGAAUAAUGUCUUAGAAUAAAGAAAUCCUACCAAACUUA